GGCAGUGGCAAAGGCAUUGGAGGGCACUACUGUGGGGGAGGGAUAGAGGCACACUAGCUGCAGAGGGAGGGUUGGGGGCACUGGGUGAUGGCAGGGGCCCUGUGGGGCUUGUGGGGGCUGGCCUCACUGGCUGUGGGGAGGGGAGUGGGGAUGCUGGGGUUGUGGCAGUAGCAUUGGGGCACUGUGCAGCUUCCCUUCCCUGCCAGACUGUGCCCGACCGGAGUUAAAGGAUAAGGACAUAACUUGGCAAGAUGAACAUUCAGCCCCUUUCUCCUGGGAGACCAAGAGUCAAAUGGAGUUCAGUGUUGCAUCUUUAUCCCUACAAGAACAAGGUGGUGUCCCAUCACAAAAUGAACAGAGACAACCAGUCAAAGCCACACCUGGUGUCCAGGCACCCAAAUCUUCUCAGGGUAAUAAGAUGCCUAGCUCUGAUGGGUUAAUACCAUCCAGGAAAGAAGAGGAGUCCUCUUUCUGGAAGAUAAAUGCAGAGCGUUCAAAGUUUGAAGGAGGCCAAUCAGAAUUCCAGUCCUUGACCCCUAGCCAGAUUAAAUCGAUGGAGAAAGGAGAGAAAGCCCUUACAUCUUUUUAUAGGCAAGAGUCUACUCCAAAAGAGACGACCAAAGGUGAGAAACCCAGCAUAGGUAAACCAGAAACGUUCGUCACUCCAAGCCUCUCUUCUCUAUCUACGGAGUGGGAGAAACCUCAACCCAGUCAGCCUACAGCUAACACGCUAGAUGACCUCCUUCCUGAACCACCCCAGGAACUGCCAUCUUCAGGGACAAAAACUGAAGAGGCUGAGGGCCCUAUGCUUUCAGACCCAGUUGGACAGUUUCCUUGAUGGUGCUGUGCUGAAUCUUAACUGAGCUGUUAUUCAACGCACCAAACUACAGAUGUACAGUACUGAUGCAUUUCAGUAUGUGUGCGCAAUACAUUAGUAUACAUGUCAGAUUGCUGUAGGCACUCGGCAUACAACUUCACACCUUACAUAGAUCAAAUCAGCUAUUCUAUUUGUGAAGCUUCCAGGGGUGUGGUGUGAGGUCACAAGGCUGCAGACUGAACUGAGUAUUUAGAAGAUGGUGCAAGCUGCCCAACAACUGAAUGAAAACAUUUGGAUUUAGGAAGGUACAUCGAUAUCUGGAGCCUUGGUUGGUUUGGUUUCUUGUCUGGAGAGAGAGAAAGAGAGUAAUACAAACACCAUUAUCUUGAAGACUGGCUUUGAUUUUCUAGACAACUGGUAAAGAUACUACAAAAUAGUUCACAUCAAGUUUGGAGAAGGAAAGAGGCAUUUUCUCUUUGUUUGUUAAGUUACUAGCAUCUGCGUAUUUAAAAAAAAUAAUUUUCAAACUCUAAAUGUUGCCUUUGUAUAAACUUUUUUGUAAUACCAGAUGCAUUUUUGUACUUCAAAUGUUUGUGAUAGGUGUGAUCUCUUUUUUUUUUUUUUUUUGAAUUUUGUAACGUCUGUUACAAGUUGAGUAGUUAUUGUAUUGGGGGAAAUUGUAUACAUUAAAGAGCAAACUUCUAUGUUCAAAAGACUCAGCCUACCAAGAACCGGUUCCUGUUUUGUUAGGAAUUGGGUUAGCAUGGCUCAUAAGCAUUUGCAUCUUUCAUGACAAAAAUGAAUUAAAUGCAGUGUUGCUUUAAAUACACUACCAAAAGACUCCUUUGAGAAAGGCAUGAAAAAAUAAGCAUAUUAUAAGAAUUGUAUUUUCUUUGUUUAUUUCAUAUCUAGUUUGGCAGUAUUGUAUUCUACCACCUUUUUUGCAAGUUAUUUUGAGAGGAGCCAAAGGUUUGACAAAAAUGCUUGGUUCAAAGAAUCACUGCAGUUGUGUUCUAUAGAUACGUUUGCUAGAAAGGAAGACUUCUUACAAAAGUGGCUUGGGAAGUGACUGUAAACAUGAGUGAGGAUGCUGACCUUUGUUUUGCCCAAUUUUUUUUCCAAGGAAUGAAAACCUAAAGAAGUCACUGCUUCCAUAUAGCCCUUGGUAGCAGAAAUGUUGAAGUAAAUCACCGGUGUCUCCAGGAGCAGGCAUCACUUAAGUUUUUGCUAUGGUAAACUACUACAUUUGUAGCAGGCUAUAGCACACUAAGGCUUUUUGUACUCUUUUUAUAACAGCUAUCCCUCUUGAGGACACAUCAGUCUAAUUUCUGGUGCUCUUUCCUUUUGUGGAUACAUCCUCCCUGGUGUCUACUCUCUGGGUAGUGUUUGCAUCUGAGGUGCAAACAGAACCAAAAGGUAGCCUUUGGCAUGUUUGCCUCCAGGUCUACUUUUGAAUGAUCUUCAGCUGCUGUUAAGGGUGGAGAACAGGAUUUCAGCUGUCAUUUGGACUGCUGUCUCCAAAAUGCAGCAUGACUUAGACACUGAUUUUUCACUGUGUUUCUCACCUUGAAGCCUUAAUUCCCCUUACACACAACCAGUGAAGGGUCCAAUGCCAGAGGUUUAACCUUUCCUUUUUACCUCCAUAAUUGAUUCCAAAAUUAUCUAUCCGGGGUGGAAGGAAAAAGAUACAGCUCAUUUUAAUGAAUCCAUGCCAAAGUUGUACUAUGGCCAAAUGAUGGGCAGUCUAUACCAGUUGGACUUAAUUCCCUUAGGCCUCAUAUGGAUUGGCAUUCGACAGUUUGUUGCUACUAGUGACAGUUAAAACCUGCUGAUUACAUUUUUUGACCAAAAUUUUCUUUUGUACAAUAAAAGUCUUUGAGAAGAUUUCAAAGUAGUCUGCAGGUAUUGAAGAAACUCCAUUCUGCAGAGUGGUGUGCUGCUUGCCUUGUUUGCUUUGAGGCAGGUGGUGUAUAUUUACUAUCAAACAGCAGUGAAUGCUUGCUUUCCUUAAUCUAUUUAAAGGCUCAGUUAUAAAAUUUAGCCUUUUUCAAAAACAAGUAUUAACAUCUAGCAACAGAAAAGAAUAAAAUAUUGGAUAGCUAGUCAUAGAAAAGCAGAUUUUACAGUGAGGUUUCAUAGCACAAUGAUAACUUCUGAAACAGCAUUAAUAAAGCUGUGCUACAAAAUACACUUCAACUGAAUGCACUCAGUGAUACAUAUCAAGUAAACUUCUAUGUAAAGGAUGGGUCUUAUAUUUGAUCCCUGUAAAUUCAGGAGAAAAUUUUAGUUCUUUUGUAUUUCAUAUUCCUGUUGGCCCAGAUAUACUUAUAAUAUUUGCUGCUUAGUUUAAUAUUUUUAAAUGGCCCUUAUUAGUGUUACGUUAUCAUCUAGCAUUAAUAUGGAAAAUUAAACAAGGACUUGAGCAUAAAGUCCAGAUGUAUGAAAUACUGCUGACUUGCACUUUUUCCUCAAACUUGAGGAGUCCUUGAAAUUUUUUUAAGCUGAAUGACACUAAUCAUGGGUUUUACAGUUACUAAUAAAAGCUUUGAAUUGUUUUCAGUAAAUUGAAAUAUUCAGCCAUCAGUGUGUAUUUUCAAUCCAUGCAAGAGGCAUCAACUUUUUAAUCUUGCUUCAAUAUUUGUAGCGCUUUGUGUAACACUUCUUAAUGUCGGGAGGAGCAUUCGUUUACACCUGUGCUAAAUGGAUUGUAGAUUUGUAAUUUGCUUCAAUUUUGUGCUCUCUUUACUACCAUUUUUAGAGUACUGCAUCCUAUACACAUUUGGGACCAGCUGGUAGAACAUGCUGCAGAACUUUUACUUAUUCAGUAGAUUUUUCCUUGCUGAUCUUUGACACAAAUUGAUGCUUCUCCCUUUCUAUGAUAUGCUUUUAUUAAACGUUCAUAACAGAAAAAAAUGUACAUGGUCACAUUUUAUAUUAACAAACCUUUUAAUAAAGUCACUUUACAUAGAA